rnacentral:rRNA from 1 species
UACGAAGGGGGCUAGCGUUGCUCGGAAUUACUGGGCGUAAAGGGUUCGUAGGCGGUGCGGUAUGUCGGGAGUGAAAUCUCUGGGCUUAACUCAGAGGCUGCUUCCGAAACUGCCGUGCUCGAGUGCGGGAGAGGCGAGUGGAAUUACAGGUGUAGCGGUGAAAUGCGUAGAUAUCUGAUAGGAACACCCGUGGCGAAGGCGGCUCGCUGGACCGCAACUGACCGCUGAGGAACGAAAGCUAGGGGAGCAAACAGGA